rnacentral:rRNA from 2 species
GCAUCAUGAUUUACAUUUGAGUGAGUGGCGAACUGGUGAGUAACACGUGGGAAACCUGCCCAGAAGCGGGGGAUAACACCUGGAAACAGAUGCUAAUACCGCAUAACAACUUGGACCGCAUGGUCCGAGUUUGAAAGAUGGCUUCGGCUAUCACUUUUGGAUGGUCCCGCGGCGUAUUAGCUAGAUGGUGAGGUAACGGCUCACCAUGGCAAUGAUACGUAGCCGACCUGAGAGGGUAAUCGGCCACAUUGGGACUGAGACACGGCCCAAACUCCUACGGGAGGCAGCAGUAGGGAAUCUUCCACAAUGGACGAAAGUCUGAUGGAGCAACGCCGCGUGAGUGAAGAAGGGUUUCGGCUCGUAAAACUCUGUUGUUAAAGAAGAACAUAUCUGAGAGUAACUGUUCAGGUAUUGACGGUAUUUAACCAGAAAGCCACGGCUAACUACGUGCCAGCAGCCGCGGUAAUACGUAGGUGGCAAGCGUUGUCCGGAUUUAUUGGGCGUAAAGCGAGCGCAGGCGGUUUUUUAAGUCUGAUGUGAAAGCCUUCGGCUCAACCGAAGAAGUGCAUCGGAAACUGGGAAACUUGAGUGCAGAAGAGGACAGUGGAACUCCAUGUGUAGCGGUGAAAUGCGUAGAUAUAUGGAAGAACACCAGUGGCGAAGGCGGCUGUCUGGUCUGUAACUGACGCUGAGGCUCGAAAGUAUGGGUAGCAAACAGGAUUAGAUACCCUGGUAGUCCAUACCGUAAACGAUGAAUGCUAAGUGUUGGAGGGUUUCCGCCCUUCAGUGCUGCAGCUAACGCAUUAAGCAUUCCGCCUGGGGAGUACGGCCGCAAGGCUGAAACUCAAAGGAAUUGACGGGGGCCCGCACAAGCGGUGGAGCAUGUGGUUUAAUUCGAAGCUACGCGAAGAACCUUACCAGGUCUUGACAUACUAUGCAAAUCUAAGAGAUUAGACGUUCCCUUCGGGGACAUGGAUACAGGUGGUGCAUGGUUGUCGUCAGCUCGUGUCGUGAGAUGUUGGGUUAAGUCCCGCAACGAGCGCAACCCUUAUUAUCAGUUGCCAGCAUUAAGUUGGGCACUCUGGUGAGACUGCCGGUGACAAACCGGAGGAAGGUGGGGAUGACGUCAAAUCAUCAUGCCCCUUAUGACCUGGGCUACACACGUGCUACAAUGGAUGGUACAACGAGUUGCGAACUCGCGAGAGUAAGCUAAUCUCUUAAAGCCAUUCUCAGUUCGGAUUGUAGGCUGCAACUCGCCUACAUGAAGUCGGAAUCGCUAGUAAUCGCGGAUCAGCAUGCCGCGGUGAAUACGUUCCCGGGCCUUGUACACACCGCCCGUCACACCAUGAGAGUUUGUAACACCCAAAGUCGGUGGGGUAACCUUUUAGGAACCAGCCGCCU